AGUGAACGCUGGCGGUAGGCCUAACACAUGCAAGUCGAACGGCAGCACAGGAGAGCUUGCUCUCUGGGUGGCGAGUGGCGGACGGGUGAGGAAUACAUCGGAAUCUACUCUGUCGUGGGGGAUAACGUAGGGAAACUUACGCUAAUACCGCAUACGACCUACGGGUGAAAGCAGGGGACCUUCGGGCCUUGCGCGAUUGAAUGAGCCGAUGUCGGAUUAGCUAGUUGGCGGGGUAAAGGCCCACCAAGGCGACGAUCCGUAGCUGGUCUGAGAGGAUGAUCAGCCACAGUUGAACUUAUACACAGUCCAGACUCCUACGGGAGGCAGCAGUGGGGAAUAUUGGAGAAUGGGCGCAAGCCUGAUCCUGCCAUACCGCGUGGGUGAAGAAGGCCUUCGGGUUGUAAAGCCCUUUUGUUGGGAAAGAAAUCCAGCUGGCUAAUACCCGGUUGGGAUGACGGUACCCAAAGAAUAAGCACCGGCUAACUUCGUGCCAGCCGCCGCCGUAA
rnacentral:rRNA from 1 species